AAAGAUAUAGCAUAUUCUUCUGAAUAUACUUUAUAAACCUAUUCCGAGUACCUUACCCGUUGCUUCCGCGAGGCUGUCCUCACGGCCCUCUGAAGAUUUAUCUUUGGGGAGUCCUUGCGGAAGGUAUACAAUAAACUCUUGCAUUACCAUGUCAUCUGUCUGAAUCUGUUUAAAACAAAUAUUA
rnacentral:misc_RNA from 1 species